rnacentral:rRNA from 1 species
GCUUACGGCCACACCAGUGUGAAUGUGCCCGAUCUCGGAAGCCAAAUACGCUCGGGCUCGGCCAGUACUUGGAUGGGAGACCGCUUGGCAACCCCAAGUGCUGUAAGCU